ACGACCUUACUUGAACAGUAUUUGUUCUUUAUAGGCUGGUACCUUUGCAUCCUUUACCAUAAAGGGACAUGCACGAUUUUUAAAAAA
rnacentral:snoRNA from 1 species